rnacentral:rRNA from 1 species
GUGAGGAAUUUUCCGCAAUGGGCGAAAGCCUGACGGAGCAAUGCCGCGUGAAGGAUGAAGGCCUAUGGGUUGUAAACUUCUUUUCUUAGAGAAGAAUAUUGACGGUAUCUGAGGAAUAAGCAUCGGCUAACUCUGUGCCAGCAGCCGCGGUAAGACAGAGGAUGCGAGCGUUAUCCGGAAUGAUUGGGCGUAAAGCGUCUGUAGGUGGCUUCAAAAGUCUCCUGUCAAAGAUCAGGGCUUAACCCUGGGCCGGCAGGAGAAACUCUGAGGCUAGAGUUUGGUAGGGGCAGAGGGAAUUCCCGGUGGAGCGGUGAAAUGCGUAGAGAUCGAGAGGAACACCAAAGGCGAAAGCACUCUGCUGGGCCACAACUGACACUGAGAGACGAAAGCGAGGGGAGCAAAAGGGAUUAGAAACCCGAGUAGUCC